GUGAUUGUAGCUCAGUUGGUAGAGCCCUGGAUUGUGGUUCCAGUUGUCGUGGGUUCAAGUCCCAUCAGUCACC
rnacentral:tRNA from 1 species